rnacentral:rRNA from 2 species
AGUUGCGAUCAUACCAGCACUAAUACACCUAAUCCCAUCAGAACUCCGUAGUGAAGUGUGCUUGGGCGAGAGUAGUACUAGGAUGGGUGACCUCCUAGGAAGUCCUUGUGUUGCACCUC